GGUGGAGCGAAUCCCCAAAAGCAGUCUCAGUUCAGAUUGUAGGCUGAAACUCGCCUAUAUGAAGUCGGAAUUGCUAGUAAUCGCGGAUCAGCAUGCCGCGGUGAAUACGUUCCCGGGCCUUGUACACACCGCCCGUCACACCAUGAGAGUCGAUAACACCCGAAGCCUGUAGUCUAACCGUAAGGGGGACGCAGUCGAAGGUGGGAUUGAUAAUUAGGGUGAAGUCGUAACAAGGUAUC
rnacentral:rRNA from 1 species